rnacentral:siRNA from 1 species
UAACCAUCGAUCUCAAGAAGCUGC